UUUGAGAGUUUGAUCCUGGCUCAGGAUUAACGCUGGCGGCAUGCCUAAGACAUGCAAGUCGAACGAGAGGGCCCAUUGACAUUCAUCGAAAGUUGAAGUGCUUGCACUGAUGCUGGACUUGUUUAGAUUUGGAUUUUCCCUCGAGUGGCAAACGGGUGAGUAACACGUGGGUUACCUGCCUCUUAGACUGGGAUACCGAUUGGAAACGAUCGUUAAUACCGGAUGUUCUCUACGGAGUAAAGGAGCCUUUAAAGCUUCGCUAAGAGAUGGGCCUGCGGCGUAUUAGCUAGUUGGUGGGGUAAUGGCCUACCAAGGCGACGAUGCGUAGCCGUACUGAGAGGUUAAACGGCCACACUGGGACUGAGACACGGCCCAGACUCCUACGGGAGACAGCAGUUAGGAAUAUUCGUCAAUGGGGGAAACCCUGAACGAGCAAUGCCGCGUGAGUGAUGAAGGUCCUUUGGAUUGUAAAACUCUGUUGUUAUGGAAAAAUGCUAAGAAUAGGAAAUGAUUUUUAGUUGAUGGUACAUUUCAAGAAAGCCACGGCUAACUACGUGCCAGCAGCCGCGGUAAUACGUAGGUGGCGAGCGUUAUCCGGAUUUAUUGGGCGUAAAGCGUGCGCAGCCGGUUUAUUAAGUCUAAGAUGAAAGCCCGAAGCUUAACUUCGGUUUGUUUUAGAAACUGGUAGGCUUGAGUAUAGUAGAGGCAAACGGAAUUUCUAGUGUAGCGGUAAAAUGUGUAGAUAUUAGAAGGAACACCAGUGGCGAAGGCGGUUUGCUAGGCUAGCACUGACGGUCAUGCACGAAAGCGUGGGGAGCAAAUAGGAUUAGAUACCCUAGUAGUCCACGCCGUAAACGAUGAGUACUAAGUGUCGGGUUACCGGUGCUGAAGUUAACACAUUAAGUACUCCGCCUGAGUAGUACGGUCGCAAGGCUGAAACUCAAAGGAAUUGACGGGCACCCGCACAAGCGGUGGAGCAUGCUGUUUAAUUCGACAAUACGCGAAAAACCUUACCUAGGCUUGACAUCCCGUGCAACGCUAUGGAAACAUAGUUCGAGGUUACCACGGUGACAGAUGGUGCAUGGUUGUCGUCAGCUCGUGUCGUGAGAUGUUUGGUUAAGUCCAAUAACGAGCGCAACCCUCAUUUUUAGUUACUAACAUUCAGUUGAGGACUCUAAAAAUACAGCCGACGCAAGUCGGAGGAAGGUGGGGAUGACGUCAAAUCAUCAUGCCUCUUACGUCUAGGGCUACAGGCGUGCUACAAUGGCCGGUACAACGAGCUGCAACAUGGUGACAUGAAGCGAAUCUCUUAAAGCCGGUCCCAGUCCGGAUUGUAGUCUGCAACUCGACUACAUGAAGUUGGAAUCGCUAGUAAUCCCGAAUCAGAAUGUCGGGGUGAAUACGUUCUCGGGUGUUGUACACACCGCCCGUCACGCCAUGGGAGUCGGUAAUACCUGAAGUCGGUAGCCAAACCUUUUAGGAUGGGGCCGCCCAAGGUAGGAUUGAUGACUGGGGUGAAGUCGUAACAAGGUAUCCCUACGAGAACGUGGGGAUGGAUCACCUCCUUUCU
rnacentral:rRNA from 1 species